rnacentral:rRNA from 1 species
GAUGAACGCUGGCGGCGUGCCUAAUACAUGCAAGUCGAGCGAACGGACGAGAAGCUUGCUUUUCUGAUGUUAGCGGCGGACGGGUGAGUAACACGUGGAUAACCUACCUAUAAGACUGGGAUAACUUCGGGAAACCGGAGCUAAUACCGGAUAAUAUUUUGAACCGCAUGGUUCAAAAGUGAAAGACGGUCUUGCUGUCACUUAUAGAUGGAUCCGCGCUGCAUUAGCUAGUUGGUAAGGUAACGGCUUACCAAGGCAACGAUGCAUAGCCGACCUGAGAGGGUGAUCGGCCACACUGGACCUGAGACACGGUCCAGACUCCUACGGGAGGCAGCAGUAGGGAAUCUGCCGCAAUGGGCGAAAGCCUGACGGAGCAACGCCGCGUGAGUGAUGAAGGUCUUCGGAUCGUAAAACUCUGUUAUUAGGGAAGAACAUAUGUGUAAGUAACUGUGCACAUCUUGACGGUACCUAAUCAGAAAGCCACGGCUAACUACGU